UACGAAGGGGCUAGCGUUGCUCGGAAUCACUGGGCGUAAAGCGCACGUAGGCGGACUCUUAAGUCGGUGGUGAAAUCCUUGAGCUCAACUCCAGAACUGCCUUCGAUACUGAGAGUCUCGAGUCCGGGAGAGGUGAGUGGAACUGCGAGUGUAGAGGUGAAAUUCGUAGAUAUUCGCAAGAACACCAGUGGCGAAGGCGGCUCACUGGCCCGGUACUGACGCUGAGGUGCGAAAGCGUGGGGAGCAAACAGG
rnacentral:rRNA from 1 species